rnacentral:lncRNA from 1 species
UUCAGUGAGUGGCCUGUGGGGCCCUGCCAGGUUGAGGCUCAGAAAAGGCUGGCUGCAAGGGUAGGGCUGCUAGCCUCUGUCUAGCCCCUUUCUUUGUCUGCCGCCCCCACCCUACCCCCAGCCUCUCCUGCCUCCUCUUCUACCCUUUGUCCAGAGAGUUAAACUCUCUGGUGUUACUUCUAGGGAGGGGGAUGAGCCAAGUGCACACUGCACACAGUAGGUACAAGAAUCUCCCUUACCUGGAGGUGGGGAGAGGCACCCCCAGGAAAACGGAACAUCAAGCUUAGAAAUCUGGAGAAAGGUCAUUUUUGUCAACCCAAGGCCAGGGGCAGACAACAUCUAUAAAACAGAAAACAUGGGAUUGUGCCCCUGACCACAGAAAAACAGACAGGAGUGAACACCUGCCCUUGGGAGUGUCUGGGCACAGUGCAGUCCCCUCUGGCUUCUCUAUCCUGUAUUCAUCCAUCAAACCUUCAUUGAUCUGAUUUCCCCCUACUGUUCCAGUCCCUGAGGCAAGGAAAGGGACCUUCCUUCAGGGCUUACCCCAGUGGGCAACUAUUCUCUCUCCUUCUCUGUGUAGGAUUGGGGUGGGGAAGGGCUGGCAAGGUCCUGAGGGCCAACAGAGCCCAGGUCAGAUGCCAGAGUCCCUGCUUUCUGGCUUUUCGAGGUUGUCGUCCAAACGGUGCAAACAGGAUGAAAGGGAUUUGAUGGGCCGCAAAAUGCAACUCAGGUGCAGUGGCUGCCUACUCGGUCAGUCACUCUACCACUAAAGAGAAGGCAGAGGGGAAAGGCCAGUCUGCUCUCUGUCCCAUGAGGGACUAAUAUCCAAGUGCCCAUGAUGAAUGUAAUUAGCUGACCCAGAGGCCAGCCUUGCUUGUGUCUCAGUGAGGGUGGCCCCCCUUCUUUCCUGUCUUAGCUGAGCUUCCCAAGACAGCACUCAUGGGCCACCUCAGGUCACACAGUGUAUUUGGUGAUCGAGUGUCUAUCUGUGAAUUUGCACAUGUACUCAUGUGCAUGCUCCUAUGUGCAUACAUGCAGGCAGGCCUGCUCUCACACAUGUCCAAGAGUGUUAUUCCCUUCAUGUCAGUAGCGUAGCAGCUUCUGAGUCUUUCCCUAUCACCUUUACUUCAAGGAGGGAAAACAAAAUUCAUCCAUGCCUAUGGUGUGGGAGACGAAAGUCUAACGGAAAACCCACCAAGGCUAUCGAUCAAUACCAGCUAAACGGGAAUGAGAAUGGGACAGAUAGACACAUGGAGCCUAGGAGGGGAGCUCGAGGAGCGGACUGUGUCAAUAUAAAGUUAGAUACUUGGAAGACAUAAAACUGCUAAAUAAAAUAUUUUAUAUGAAAUCUUU